rnacentral:misc_RNA from 1 species
GAUGAAGAACGUAGCGAAAUGCGAUAAGUAAUGUGAAUUGCAGAAUUCAGUGAAUCAUCGAAUCUUUGAACGCACAUUGCGCCCGCCAGUAUUCUGGCGGGCAUGCCUGUCCGAGCGUCAUUUCAACCCUCGAACCCCUCCGGGGGGUCGGCGUUGGGGAUCGGGAACCCCUAAGACGGGAUCCCGGCCCCGAAAUACAGUGGCGGUCUCGCCGCAGCCUCUCCUGCGCAGUAGUUUGCACAACUCGCACCGGGAGCGCGGCGCGUCCACGUCCGUAAAACACCCAACUUUCUGAAAUGUUGACCUCGGAUCAGGUAGGAAUACCCGCUGAACUUAAGCAUAUCAAAAGCGGAGGA